rnacentral:rRNA from 1 species
UACGGAGGGUGCAAGCGUUAUCCGGAUUCACUGGGUUUAAAGGGUGCGUAGGUGGGCAGGUAAAUCAGUGGUGAAAUCUCCGGGCUUAACUCGGAAACUGCCAUUGAUACUAUCUUUCUUGAAUACCGUGGAGGUCAGCGGAAUAUGUCAUGUAGCGGUGAAAUGCUUAGAUAUGACAUAGAACACCAAUUGCGAAGGCAGCUGGCUACACGAAUAUUGACACUGAUGCACGAAAGCGUGGGGAUCAAACAGG